rnacentral:rRNA from 1 species
UACGUAGGGGGCGAGCGUUGUCCGGAGUUAUUGGGCGUAAAGCGCGCGCAGGCGGUCUAGCCAGUCUGGAGUGACAGUUCCCGGCUCACCUGGGAAAGGUCUUCGGAAACUGCUAGACGUUGAGGGACUCAGAGGGAGACGGAAUUCCAGGUGGAGCGGUGAAAUGCGUAGAGAUCUGGAGGAACACCAAAGGCGAAGGCAGUCUCCUGGGAGUUACCUGACGCUCAGGCGCGAAAGCCAGGG